rnacentral:misc_RNA from 1 species
UCUCCGUUGGUGAACCAGCGGAGGGAUCAUUACCGAGUUAUCAACUCCCAAACCCCUGUGAACAUACCCAACGUUGCUUCGGCGGGACCGCCCCGGCGCCCUCGGCGUCCCGGAACCAGGCGCCCGCCGGAGGACCCAAACUCUUGUUUAAACCAUAGUGGCAUAUUCUGAGUCUCACAAGAAAAAUGAAUCAAAACUUUCAACAACGGAUCUCUUGGCUCUGGCAUCGAUGAGAACGCAGC